rnacentral:rRNA from 1 species
GGAAUCUUCCACAAUGGACGCAAGUCUGAUGGAGCAACGCCGCGUGAGUGAAGAAGGUCUUCGGAUCGUAAAACUCUGUUGUUAGAGAAGAACACGAGUGAGAGUAACUGUUCAUUCGAUGACGGUAUCUAACCAGCAAGUCACGGCUAACUACGNGCCAG